rnacentral:snRNA from 1 species
CCUAUUGCGCAGUGGCAAUAGCGUAGCCAAUGAGGUGUACCCGAGGCGGCGAUUAUUGCUAAUUGAAAAAAAAAAAAAAAAAGAAACAAAGCCUACACACUUAGAAAUAGUAAUUUUUGGAUAGCAGUAAUAUGG